GCUAGCAGCCAUAUCACCCUGCUACUCACAACUGGCAGCCCACUGGAGCUCAGCAGGUGUGAGCCUGGUCAGUACCUGGAUGGGAGACCUCCUGGGAAAAAACGAAGGUUGCUGCUGGUA
rnacentral:rRNA from 1 species